rnacentral:rRNA from 1 species
UCAGUCGACUCCUACGGGGAGGCAGCAGUGGGGAAUAUUGCACAAUGGGGGAAGCCCUGAUGCAGCCAUGCCGCGUGUGUGAAGAAGGCCUUCGGGUUGUAAAGCACUUUCAGUAGGGAGGAAGGUAGUGUAGUUAACACCUGCACUAUUUGACGUUACCUACAGAAGAAGCACCGGCUAACUCCGUGCCAGCAGCCGCGGUAAUACGGAGGGUGCGAGCGUUAAUCGGAAUUACUGGGCGUAAAGCGCAUGCAGGCGGCCUGUUAAGUCAGAUGUGAAAGCCCGGGGCUUAACCUCGGAAUUGCAUUUGAAACUGGCAGGCUAGAGUCUUGUAGAGGGGGGUAGGAAUUUCAGGUGUAGCGGUGAAAUGCGUAGAGAUCUGAAGGAAUACCAGUGGCGAAGGCGGCCCCCUCGGACAAAGACUGACGCUCAGAUGCGAAAGCGUGGGGAGCAAACAGGAUUAGAUACCCUGGUAG